AGUGAGACCUGGGCAGAGGAGAGGGAGCCAGGACCACAGGCAGAAGAGAGCCGGAGCAGGAGACGCCCACCCACCACAGGAACUGCUACCACGGCCUCCCUCUCUGCUCUGACCCCUCGAAGAGUGUGUGGGGUAGCUCUCCGCCUCGGGGCUGCCUUCACUGGGCGGCCUGGGUGAUGAUGGUUCCCGAGGGGCUGGCAUUGCUCCCACUCUGCCAGGCAGAGGAACGCCGACCAAUGGCAGAGGACAGUGUCCCCAAGAUGUACGUCUCAGCCAGGACCCCCAGAGCAGCCAGAAAAAGAGAUUGAGAGAAGCACACAGCCCCUCCCCAAGAUCCAGCACCCCCAUAUCACAGAAGGCUGCAGCUGUGGUUCUGUGGAGGAAAAGCAGGGCCCGAGAGUCCAGUCUCUCCUGGCAGUCAGUGCCCUUCCUGGGAUUCAAGAGAGAAACUUCCUUUUCCACAGUCUAAUGUGUAAGAUGUCAGCCACCACACCUGGCCUGCCACACUUCCUUGAUGCUAUUGACAUUUAUAAUAGCAAGCAGGUUUUCUCCCUUUGGGUCCGGAGAUCAGAGUUCUUUGUUGGGAUUGAAAGCAUGAACGUGUCAUUUGAUGGGGCUUUGGACAGUGGUCAUGACGUGAAGAAUUAGGAAGCCAUAGGCUGGGAGGCAAGCCCAGGGACAUGACCUGCAGAGGAAGGCCCAUGCACCUGCCACCAGGCAUCGAAGACCUCAAGGCCAUUCUCCGGUGAACCCAGGGGUGACAGACUGAACAGUGAAUUGCCAAGACCGAGGGCUGAUCUGCUCUACAGAUGUCUCCUGCAGACUCCAAAGCAUUCUAUAACCUAUUCUAACCACGGCUCUGUGCGGGCUGUGGUGCUUCUGUGCCCUCUGCCCCUGGCACAGCAUGAGGCCGGCAGCUGAUUCAGCGCAUUGUCUGGAGACCCAGCAUGGUGCCAUCUCUGCUGACUUUCAUCUCUAUUGGCUAAGAAUCCUUGCCAACAGGGCCUCUGAAAUGAGGGAGGCACACACGGAUCUGCCCGGGAACGUGUGCUACAAGGUUAAGCGUGUUUGCCCAGGCGAGGUCCGGAGUUCAAAUCCCAGCAACCACAUGGUGGCUCACAACCAUCUGUAAUGAGAUCUGACUCCCUCUUCUGGAGUGUCUGAAGACAGCUACAGUGUUCUUACAUGUAAUAAUAAAUAAAUCUUUAAAAAAAAAAAAAAGAAAAUUACCUUACUGGCAACCCUCGUACUAGCUACCUGACACCCAUAGGCACAAAUGAAUAAAAUAAAAUAUGCUUCAGAUAUAUUGAGUAAAA
rnacentral:lncRNA from 1 species